AACAGGAAUGUACCACCAGGUUGGAGAUUUUGUAGUGUUUUAUGUUUUACUGGGCUCCUCAAUGCACAAAAAUUUUCUGGAGAUUGGAGGGUAACCUCAUAUUGAUCCACUUCUUAACCAAUCUAGAUGGCAAGCUCAAACAGCUUUUAGGUGCUCAGUCUAAACCCAUAUUUUGCAUCUUGGCCUUCCAAGAUUCCCAUUAACAAUAAAUCUAUUUUUCUUUUAACUUAUGUGUAUGUAUAUCAGAAGAAACCAACAAUAACUAAAGAAGAAACAGACCUGUGGAUGCCAGUGGUAACCAAAG
rnacentral:lncRNA from 1 species